AUUGAACGCUGGCGGCAUGCUUUACACAUGCAAGUCGAACGGUAACAGGCCGCAAGGUGCUGACGAGUGGCGAACGGGUGAGUAAUGCAUCGGAACGUGCCCAGUCGUGGGGGAUAACUACUCGAAAGAGUAGCUAAUACCGCAUACGAUCUAUGGAUGAAAGCGGGGGACCGUAAGGCCUCGCGCGAUUGGAGCGGCCGAUGUCAGAUUAGGUAGUUGGUGGGGUAAAGGCUCACCAAGCCAACGAUCUGUAGCUGGUCUGAGAGGACAACCAGCCACACUGGGACUGAGACACGGCCCAGACUCCUACGGGAGGCAGCAGUGGGGAAUUUUGGACAAUGGGCGCAAGCCUGAUCCAGCAAUGCCGCGUGCAGGAAGAAGGCCUUCGGGUUGUAAACUGCUUUUGUACGGAGCGAAACGGCUCUGGUUAAUACCCGGGGCUAAUGACGGUACCGUAAGAAUAAGCACCGGCUAACUACGUG
rnacentral:rRNA from 1 species